UACAGAGGGUGCAAGCGUUGUUCGGAAUUAUUGGGCGUAAAGGGUGCGUAGGCGGUGCGGUAAGUCUCUUGUGAAAUCUCCGGGCUCAACCCGGAGCCUGCAAGGGAAACUGCCGUGCUUGAGUGUGGGAGAGGUGAGUGGAAUUCCCGGUGUAGCGGUGAAAUGCGUAGAUAUCGUCUGGAACGCCAAAGGUGAAGACAGUCUGCUGGGAACUUGCUGACGCUGAGACACGAAAGCCAGGGGAGCGAACGGG
rnacentral:rRNA from 1 species